rnacentral:rRNA from 1 species
GACGAACGCUGGCGGCGUGCUUAACACAUGCAAGUCGAGUGGAAAGGCCCUUUUGGGGGUACUCGAGCGGCGAACGGGUGAGUAACACGUGAGUAAUCUGCCCUUCACUUUGGGAUAACGCCCGGAAACGGGUGCUAAUACCGGAUAUGACCACUCUCCGCAUGGGGUGGUGGUGGAAACUUUUUGGGUGGGGGAUGUGCUCGCGGCCUAUCAGCUUGUUGGUGGGGUAAUGGCCUACCAAGGCUUUGACGGGGAGCCGGCCUGAGAGGGUGACCGGCCACACUGGGACUGAGACACGGCCCAGACUCCUACGGGAGGCAGCAGUGGGGAAUAUUGGACAAUGGGCGGAAGCCUGAUCCAGCAACGCCGCGUGAGGGAUGACGGCCUUCGGGUUGUAAACCUCUUUCAGUGCCGACGAAGCCUUUGGGUGACGGUAGGUGCAGAAGAAGGACCGGCCAACUACGUGCCAGCAGCCGCCGUAAAAC